ACAAUUGAUGAAUCAGUGGAAGUGCACUAAAUUGAAUACAAAAAAGAGUUGUCAUCUUAUCGCCGUGAAACAUCAAAAACUGGAGGUGGAACAAAGCCACCGUCACCGUCUCGAGAUACAAUGGAUAUGGCAGAGAUGAUACCGCAACGGUUUGAAGUAGAUUUCAAUGAAUUUGAUUGUGAUGGUGUCGAGGAUAUUACAAAUAAAAUCAUUUUGGAAACAAUUGAUAUCC